UGCCCCUUUUUAACUUAGAAUUUUUGGUUAAAGUUUUAUAAAUUUUUACUGGCAAAGCUCUAAUUCAGAGUCAAGUACUGAGAAAGGUCGAGUGUGCUGUCUUACGGACAGCUCUUGUUUAGAUUAAUGUUAGCGUAUCAGAAACCAGAUAGUACCAAUUUAUUUUGAUAGUAAAUGUCAUUUAUCCAUUGACCCCUCACAUAUGGAGAUGUUUACAUAUAGAGAGCAGACUAUUUAAAGAAAGAAAAAUCCUGUUAUGGACUGGAUGAAUCUUUUGUAGCAUUCAUGGAUUGAUCUUUCUCAUUUUUUUCUUUUUCAAAGUGUUCCCUUAAUCCAUUUUAAGGCCCACAAGUCCAAAAAUAGAAACACAUUGAAAUGAACUGCUUCUUAGAUCUUCAUCAAACUGAGUCUAUACCCUUGUACAAACUGCUCUCAAACUUGUCCAAAUUGUUCUGCUUGACCUCUGUUUUAAGGGCUGCUAGUACAUAUACUAAAAAACUCUAUAAUUGCUUCUUUAAGCAAACCAGAAAAUUUUCCGUCAGUCACUAAAUGAAUUGCUCAAUAUACCUCGUUUGUUUCAUUUGAUGUUUUGAUAGUUUUUAGUGAUAUUUUGUGCAAAGUGCAAUUUUUUUCAAACACAUUGGUACUUAAAUUGUUGUUUUAAUAAUUUACAGGUGCAAUGGUUACUUAGUAUAUUUUUGUUAAGUGGGAGUCUGUAUUGUAGAUGUAAUUGGUAAAAGACAAAGCAGCCUAGUUCUAGUAGAGUUUGAUUGCUUAAUUAAACUCGUGUCAAAAAUAGUUGUUCAAAGAAAGGCAAUCACAUAGUAACAACUUUUAAAUACACAACCAGUCGCAUAGUAAAAACUUUUAAAUACAAUUUGCAUCCAGUUUUCUUAUGAUCAGAUUUGGUUCUUGUUUUGAUUAUCAUCUUGUCAGUGCUAAAAGCACAUGUACAAUAGGUUGCCAUCAAAUUUCCGUCAACUGCAUGAAAAUAUGUCACACAUGGCUAUACGUGUAUCAGUAAAUCACACAAGUCAGUAACUUUUUUGCUUCUGAAAUGUAAAUUUGUAAAUCAAAAAAAGCUUUAUGAUUUUAAAAAUGCUAACAACAGUGAACAUUAAUGGCAAAUGUGGUAUAUGGACAUUCCGAUAAUCUAAUAUUCCAAUGUUAAUUGUUUCUAUUUAUUCCAAUCCUUACUUUAAACAGGCUCCUUGUUAUCUACUUUCUUAUCUGCUCAGUAGAUAUAUACCAUUUGUUGUGUAGCAAGCUUGUAUGGACCUCUCAAGUUUGUUUGGAUAAGACUGCUUAAUACCAUUUAGGAGUGGCCAGAGCUAAAAACAGAAAAUCCUUUAUAUUACUUCAUCUCAUGAACUGCUUGAUAAAUCUUUACUAAACUAGGCAAGAGGACUGCCAGAGGUAUAAAUAGAAAGUCUGGAAAACCGCUUUUUCUUAUGAACUGCUUUUUGAUCAUUACCAAACUAGGCAAGAGGACUGCCAGAGGUAUAAAUAGAAAGUCUGUAAAACUGCCUUUCUCAUGAACUGCUUGAUAGAUCAUUACCAAACUAAGCAAGAGGACUGCUAGAGGUAUAAAUAGAAAGUCUGGAAAACCACUUUUUCUCAUGAACUGCUUGAUAGAUCAUUACCAAACUAGGCAAGAGGACUGCCAGAGGUAUAAAUAGAAAGUCUGUAAAACUGCUUUUUCUCAUGAACUGCUUGAUAGAUCAUUACCAAACUAGGCAAGAGGACUGCCAGAGGUA
rnacentral:lncRNA from 1 species